rnacentral:rRNA from 1 species
CUUGCUUUUUAGCUUAGUGGCGGACGGGUGAGUAAUGCGUGAGCAACCUGCCUGUCAGUGGGGGAUAACUUCCGGAAACGGACGCUAAUACCGCAUAUAGUACAUAAUCCGCAUGGAUAUGUGUAUGAAAGGAGCAAUCCGCUGAUAGAUGGGCUCACGUCCGAUUAGUUUGUUGGUGGGGUAAUGGCCUACCAAGACUACGAUCGGUAGCCGGGCUGAGAGGCUGAACGGCCACAUUGGGACUGAGACACGGCCCAGACUCCUACGGGAGGCAGCAGUGGGGGAUAUUGCACAAUGGGGGAAACCCUGAUGCAGCAACGCCGCGUGAGGGAUGAAGGUUUUCGGAUUGUAAACCUCUGUCCUUAGUGAAGAAAAAAAUGACGGUAACUAAGGAGGAAGCUCCGGCUAACUACGUGCCAGCAGCCGCGGUAAUACGUAGGGAGCGAGCGUUGUCCGGAUUUAUUGGGUGUAAAGGGUGCGUAGGCGGCUAUGUAAGUCAGACGUGUAAUGCAGAGGCUUAACCUCUGAACUGCGUUUGAAACUGUGUAGCUUGAGUGGAGUAGAGGCAGAUGGAAUUUCCAGUGUAGCGGUGAAAUGCGUAGAUAUUGGAAGGAACACCAGUGGCGAAGGCGAUCUGCUGGGCUCUAACUGACGCUGAGGCACGAAAGCAUGGGGAGCAAACAGGAUUAGAUACCCUGGUAGUCCAUGCCGUAAACGAUGAUUACUAGGUGUGGGGGGACUGA